UUGCCAGCAUUCAGUUGGGCACUCUAAGGUGACUGCCGGUGACAAACCGGAGGAAGGUGGGGAUGACGUCAAAUCAUCAUGCCCCUUAUGACCUGGGCUACACACGUGCUACAAUGGAUGGUACAAAGGGCUGCAAACCUGCGAAGGUAAGCGAAUCCCAUAAAGCCAUUCUCAGUUCGGAUUGCAGGCUGCAACUCGCCUGCAUGAAGCCGGAAUCGCUAGUAAUCGCGGAUCAGCAUGCCGCGGUGAAUACGUUCCCGGGCCUUGUACACACCGCCCGUCACACCACGAGAGUUUGUAACACCCGAAGUCGGUGAGGUAACCUUCAUGGAGCCAGCCGCCUAAGGUGGGACAGAUGAUUGGGGUGAAGUCGUAACAAGGUA
rnacentral:rRNA from 1 species